rnacentral:tRNA from 1 species
UGAGGUUUGGCUUAGUGGUAAAGCACUCACCUAGCACGUGCAAGACACUGGGUUUGAUCCUCAGCACCACAU